CCUACGGGAGGCAGCAGUGAGGAAUAUUGGUCAAUGGGCGCGAGCCUGAACCAGCCAAGUAGCGUGAAGGAUGACUGCCCUACGGGUCGUAAACUUCUUUUAUAAAGGAAUAAAGUGAGGCACGUGUGCCUUUUUGUAUGUACUUUAUGAAUAAGGAUCGGCUAACUCCGUGCCAGCAGCCGCGGUAAUACGGAGGAUCCGAGCAUUAUCCGGAUUUAUUGGGUUUAAAGGGAGCGUAGAUGGGUUGUUAAGUCAGUUGUGAAAGUGUGCGGCUCAACCGUAAAAUUGCAAUUGAUACUGGCAGUCUUGAGUACAGUUGAGGUAGGCGGAAUUCGUGGUGUAGCGGUGAAAUGCUUAGAUAUCACGAAGAACUCCGAUUGCGAAGGCAGCUUACUAAACUGCCACUGACAUUGAUGCUCGAAAGUGUGGGUAUCAAACAGGAUUAGAUACCCGAGUAGUC
rnacentral:rRNA from 1 species